UGGCUGCCAGGAGGGAGGCCAGUCGCGGGACUGGGGAACUGGCAGGCUGCUGGCCGGCGCGUGGAACCACCCCCGCCACCCCCGCACCCCCAAUGUUGAACCAGAGUUCUUAACUUCCAUGUGCACGAACCCCAGGGAGUGCAGGAACACCCCCAAACUGUGCACAAAUUGAGCAUGUUUGUGCAUUCUUCAGGGGAGAGGGGCCGUGGGCUUUCCUCCGGUUUUCAGAAGUCCACGGCCCCCUAAGGAUCCAAAUCUUAGGCUUUAAGGGGUUCUGUGCAGAUCCUCAGCAGCCUCCCCAGCUUCAGAUCCGGCCUCCUGAGCUCCAGUCUCUCUGAUACCUGCACCCAGGCUCAGGUGCAGGCCAGAGCUCACCUGACUCUGGUGAGCUGCUCUGCCCUACACCGGGAUUGCAGCACACAUCACAUGGCGCUGUCAUUGUCAGAUCCAUCUCUGUGUCCCCACACCCAGCCUGACACAUGGAGCCUGGGAUACAAUAGAUGCUCAAACCGUUGGGACUAACAAUUUGUACCUGGCCUUCGUGAGACCCCUGGAGGGAACUGCCACUGGCGCUGGUUUCGUAGCAAGAAUAUACCUCAAAUGACCAAACAGGAAUGAAAAACUUCAGAUGGUUUAGGUGCCAGUGGCUUCCGAAUAAAACAGCAUUCUUGAAGUGAACAGCUGAUGAGGACAUGAAAUAUUAUGCCAAAGCUGGCAUCACACUGUUCUUUUUCCUGGAUGAAAAUCUCUCUGAGAAGCAUUUGCUCUUAACUUUGGUGUCCUGGGGACUGCUGCCUUAUCCCAGGAAGCCACCCAGAGUCUUGGAUGUGUGGGAUCCUUAGGACUUCAUGGUAAACCUGCUCUAGUCCCUCGGGUUAGUAAAAUGAAGCCCAGGACAUCUGAGAGCCCCCAGCACUUCCAUAGAAAUGGACCAAAAUCCCUUCUCCCAGGGGGAGAAACCUGGAAUAAGCUCAAGAGGACAGACGGCUAAAUUUUCAAGAAUCGUGUGAGCUGCUGUUAAACAAGCCAUUAUUAAAACUUUAAUUGUGUAAACUUACAAUUAGGUCAGUUAUAUUAAAAGUAAAAGUGAUACAUACCC
rnacentral:lncRNA from 1 species